AUUGAACGCUGGCGGCAUGCCUUACACAUGCAAGUCGAACGGUAACAGGUUAAGCUGACGAGUGGCGAACGGGUGAGUAAUAUAUCGGAACGUGCCCAGUCGUGGGGGAUAACUGCUCGAAAGAGCAGCUAAUACCGCAUACGACCUGAGGGUGAAAGCGGGGGAUCGCAAGACCUCGCGCGAUUGGAGCGGCCGAUAUCAGAUUAGGUAGUUGGUGGGGUAAAGGCCCACCAAGCCAACGAUCUGUAGCUGGUCUGAGAGGACGACCAGCCACACUGGGACUGAGACACGGCCCAG
rnacentral:rRNA from 1 species